rnacentral:tRNA from 1 species
AUAGAUUAUAAUUUAAAAUAAAAAUAUUAAAUUGCAAAUUUAAAUAUAGUAUAAACUUAAUCUUUA